ACUUUUGUAUCAGCAAUGCAGACAAGCUAGGAUGAGGGGGGCUUUCUCUGCUCCACGAUGUUUGGAUCCUUGGCUGGGAUGUCACAAAUAGUGGUGGCUCAACUGGGAUCACACACCUCAGGCCUCUGUGGUCACUGGCGGCCUGGUUACUUGGGUCAUCCCUGUCCACACGGCUUGUGUGAGCUUCCUCAUGGCAUGGCAGCCACAGAGUGGCUGGAGUUCUUACAUAGUGCCUGGCUUUCCCCAGAGAGAAAGCAAAAGCUGUUGGACCUCUUAUAGACUGUGACUGGAAUCAUCAUAGUGACCCGUUACCACCUUCUCUUGUUCAAGGCCUUAAAGAGAAGAAGAGAUGGAGUUAAGUGAGAAAAAUAUCGCUAUGUGGAGAGUAAAGUGAAUAUUCCAAAAAGUGAAUUCAGAGGAUCAAACUCCAGGAGCCUUCGGAUGUCUGAUUAUUGGAUCAUGCUGUCUGGCUGCAUAAGAUGUAUCCACGAUAUUUACUUGGUGCCCACAAUAUUCCAGGAUUGUCCUAGUUGCUUAUAUGUAUUUGUUCUAAUUUUAUUGGUGUGUAAAGGAGCCCUUGCCAUC